CACCGCCCGUCACACCAUGGGAAUAGGUUUCGCCCGAAGCAUCGGACCAAUGAUCACCCAUGACUUCUGUGUACCACUAGUGCCACAAAGGCUUUUGGUGGUCUUAUUGGCGCAUACCACAGUGGGGUUUUCGACUGGGGUGAAGUCGUAACAAGGCAACCGUAGGGGAACCUGUAGCUG
rfam:Helianthus annuus linkage group 7, whole genome shotgun sequence.